UACAGAGGUCUCGAGCGUUGUUCGGAUUCAUUGGGCGUAAAGGGUGCGUAGGUGGCGUGGUAAGUCUGGUGUGAAAUCCCGGGGCUCAACCCCGGAACUGCACUGGAUACUGCCAUGCUUGAGUACUGGAGAGGAGAUUGGAAUUUACGGUGUAGCAGUGAAAUGCGUAGAUAUCGUAAGGAAGACCAGUGGCGAAGGCGAAUCUCUGGACAGUUACUGACACCGAGGCACGAAGGCCAGGGGAGCAAACGGG
rnacentral:rRNA from 1 species